rnacentral:rRNA from 1 species
ACCUCUAGCAUUACUAGUAUUAGAGGCACUGCCUGCCCAGUGACACACGUUUAACGGCCGCGGUACCCUGACCGUGCAAAGGUAGCAUAAUCACUUGUUCUUUAAAUAGGGACUCGUAUGAAUGGCACCACGAGGGUUUAACUGUCUCUUACUUUCAACCAGUGAAAUUGACCUGUCCGUGAAGAGACGGACAUGAAACAAUAAGACGAGAAGACCCUGUGGAGCUUCAAUUUAUUAGUACAACUAAAAACCGUACAAACCAACAGGUCCUAAACCCCUACAUCUGUGCUAAAAAUUUUGGUUGGGGCGACCUCGGAGCACAACUAAACCUCCGAAUAAUCCACGCUAAGACUAUACAAGUCAAAGCAAACUGACACUUACAAUUGACCCAAUAAUUUGAUCAACGGAACAAGUUACCCCAGGGAUAACAGCGCAAUUCUAUUCUAGAGUCCAUAUCAACAAUAGAGUUUACGACCUCGAUGUUGGAUCAGGACAUCCUGAUGGUGCAGCAGCUAUCAAG